rnacentral:rRNA from 1 species
AUGGCUGAGGAUAGUGUGUGUGAGAUAUGCGGGAGAGGGAAUGAGGAGCACCACUCCGUUAUCGCAUGUACCAGAAGUUUAGUCCUGCGGCAGGAAAUGAGACCCUAUUGGCAGCUGCCAAAGGAAUCUGCUCUCACAUACACAGGAGAGGACUGGUUACAGCUGUUGCUACUAUCUUAGGGAGAAGAAACUAGGACCAAGCUAAUGCUAAUUCUGUGGCAGGCCUGGAGCCUUAGAAACAAUGUGAUUCACGGUGAUGGGAAAGAUACGGUGUCAGGUGCGGUGCAAGCCUUACUGCGGAUACAUGAUGAGAUACAAAUGGUAGUGGAGAAUCCCUGGAGCGAAGAAGACAAAUGCAGAAGGGGUCUAUUCCCAACCAAACCAUGUGUGCCGACCACCUCUGGAACUAUGGUAUGGAGAGGCCCCACCCCAGGCAAUGUUAAGUUAAACACGGACGCGGUUUUCCUUGCGGACUCGGGUGAAGCAUGGGGCGGGGCAGUUGCCAGAUACCAUAAGGGCCACGUUUUCCUUUCGGUGGGAAGGAAGUUACCUUACUGA